GACGGAGGAUGCAAGUGUUAUCCGGAAUCACUGGGCGUAAAGCGUCUGUAGGUGGUUUAAUAAGUCAACUGUUAAAUCUUGAGGCUCAACUUCAAAAUCGCAGUCGAAACUAUUAGACUAGAGUAUAGUAGAGGUAAAGGGAAUUUCCAGUGGAGCGGUGAAAUGCGUAGAUAUUGGAAAGAACACCGAUGGCGAAAGCACUUUACUGGGCUAUUACUAACACUCAGAGACGAAAGCUAGGGUAGCAAAUGGGAUUAGAUACCCCAGUAGUCCUAGCCGUAAACUAUGGAUACUAGAUGUUGAAUAGUCGCUACAGUAUCAAAGCUAACGCGUUAAGUAUCCCGCCUGGGAAGUAUGCUCGCAAGAGUG
rnacentral:rRNA from 1 species